GCGCAGCAGGCGAGAAUCCUUCGCAAUGCAGGAAACUGCGACGAGGGAACUCCAAGUGCCUACGCUCAGCGUAGGCUGUUCUCAAGCCUAGAAAGCUUGAGGAGUAAGGGCUGGGUAAGACGGGUGCCAUCUGUGGUAGCAGUCAAUAGAUUCGAUUUGUUACUGCAAGGCAUAAGCCGCCGCGGUAAUACCCGCAGCCCAAGUGGUGGCCGCUUUUAUUGGGCCUAAAGCGUCCGUAGCCGGCCCGGUAAGUGCCUGGGUAAAUCGUGAGGCCUAACCUCACGAAUUCCGGGUAGACUGCCGGGCUAGGGACCGGAGGAGGGAGAGGGUACUCCAGGGGUAGGGGUGAAAUCCUGUAAUCCCUGGAGGACCACCGGUGGCGAAGGCGCUCUCCUAGGACGGGUCCGACGGUGAGGGACGAAAGCCAGGGGAGCGAACCGGAUUAGAUACCCGCGUAGU
rnacentral:rRNA from 1 species